GGAGAAGUGACGAGAAAGAAGGAAAAGGAGGAGAAGAGACGGACGGGAAGCUCUUGCGUAAAAGAAUUGGAGUCAAGGGGAAGAGUAACAUUUGGGUCUAGGUUUUAAUCAGGUUUUAUGCAAAAGAGUUUCUGGAUUGUUGUUCUCCCACUGUUUCUGAUUUUGUUAUUUGGUGUUAGUUCAGCGUGCUCUUUUGAUUCAGGUAUGUGAGUUUCGUUAUGAGAUUAUUAAUUGUUGAAUCAGUUUUUGUAAUUAUUUGCUUUGUGUUGAGGAUAUGUCAUUCGAUUGAGGAUUUAUAUUGUAACUGUUGAUCUAUGUUAUAUUAUUUUUGAUACUGUUUGAAUAAUGGAAUAUGCUUGGGUUGUGAUUUAUAUAGUUGUAACAAGUGGUUU